rnacentral:rRNA from 1 species
CACGUAGGCGGAUAUUUAAGUCAGGGGUGAAAUCCCAGAGCUCAACUCUGGAACUGCCUUUGAUACUGGGUAUCUUGAGUAUGGAAGAGGUAAGUGGAAUUCCGAGUGUAGAGGUGAAAUUCGUAGAUAUUCGGAGGAACACCAGUGGCGAAGGCAGCUUACUGGUCCAUUACUGACGCUGAGGUGCGAAAGCGUGGGGAGCAAACA